UCAGGAAANUCUGGAGUAAAAGGCUAUGGCUCAACCAUAGUGUGCUCUGGAAACUNUCUGACUUGAGUGCAGAAGGGGAGAGUGGAAUUCCAUGUGUAGCGGUGAAAUGCGUAGAUAUAUGGAGGAACACCAGUGGCGAAAGCGGCUCUCUGGUCUGUCACUGACGCUGAGGCUNGAAAGCGUGGGUAGCGAACAGGAUUAGAUACCCUGGUAGUCCACGCCGUAAACGAUGAGUGCUAGGUGUUAGGCCCUUUCCGGGGCUUAGUGCCGGAGCUAACGCAAUAAGCACUCCGCCUGGGGAGUACGACCGCAAGGUUGAAACUCAAAGGAAUUGACGGGGGCCCGCACAAGCGGUGGAGCAUGUGGUUUAAUUCGAAGCAACGCGAAGAACCUUACCAGGUCUUGACAUCCCGAUGCUAUUCUUAGAGAUAGGAAGUUACUUCGGUACAUCGGAGACAGGUGGUGCAUGGUUGUCGUCAGCUCGUGUCGUGAGAUGUUGGGUUAAGUCCCGCAACGAGCGCAACCCUUAUUGUUAGUUGCCAUCAUUAAGUUGGGCACUCUAGCGAGACCGCCGGUAAUAAACCGGAGGAAGGUGGGGAUGACGUCAAAUCAUCAUGCCCCUUAUGACCUGGGCUACACACGUGCUACAAUGGUCGGUACAACGAGUUGCGAGCCGGUGACGGCAAGCUAAUCUCUGAAAGCCGAUCUCAGUUCGGAUUGGAGGCUGCAACUCGCCUCCAUGAAGUCGGAAUCGCUAGUAAUCGCGGAUCAGCACGCCGCGGUGAAUACGUUCCCGGGCCUUGUACACACCGCCCGUCACACCACGAGAGUUUGUAACACCCGAAGU
rnacentral:rRNA from 1 species